GUAAAAGAAUACAAAUGAAUAGUCUACACUGUAUCUGCUGGUUCUUUAAAAGAUUAUAUUCAAUUUCCAGUGAAACGAUGGAACAGAGUUUAAGGCUAGUGUUAUUAUUUCAACGCCAGUAAAUCUAUGUUCCAGGAGAUAUAUGAUUAGUAUGUCAUUUUUUUAACUUAUCAAUAUUGGUGUAAUAAACUUUUUAUUCUAUUCCCACGUCUCUGUAAUAUUUUUAGUAAUAUUGUUAAACUUGUAUCGUUGAUUGUACACUAGAAAAACUGAGAAGAGAAGAGAAACAAUAAACAUUUAUUACUAACCAU